AAGGCUGUCAGCUGUGGGAGGGGAGCCCCCUUGUGGUGAGAGAGCACAGUUGCACUACUGAGCACAUGUUCCAGUGAUCAGAGUUGGAGCUAACACAUAGCAAGAGCCACCUGGCAGACUGACUCAGCAGGGGAAGUCUAAACACGGUGUGAGUCGCAUGCGUCGCUAAAGAACUACCACACCUACACCCCUCACCACUUUAAAGCCUGCGGUUGCAUUACUGUGUUGCGAUACUGUGCUGUUACGCUGAGGAAUCACAGUAAAGACGGUAUAACCUUUAACUGUGCGUCCUGUGUGUUCUGACCGACACCCCAAGGCGAACACCACUGCUAUUCAGCCAACGCCUAUACAGUCCUGGGUUUAAUCCAAAUUAACAGUGAGGAAUAUAAAGAGAAAAACUUACCAAACAUUAUUUUAAUACAAUUUUCCAGGUUCUUUGGCUAAAGGUGAGCACUUCCAACCGCAAGAAAAGCUUUGUGGCAAGAUACUUCUAUGAAGUUGUUCAAGAACAGGGCGGGUGUCCUCAGAUGAUUCGCUGGGACCGAGGAAAGGAGAACCUUGUUGUGGGUCAAAUGCAGACCAGGUAUGUCUUCAAGCUGGUAAAUGACUAUUUCUAAACUAGCACCCUGACAACAAAAAUGAUAAUUUCUCUGUUGUUUUGAGAGUUGAAUGUUUCAACAGCAUUUUAAAGCAGACAUGGAUUAAGAAACGGCAGACAACAUUUGAAGUAAAGCAGAUGUUUCAUCUGUAAAACAUCAUCACAAUUUAGAAUCGAAUUUCUCUUCUGUGGGAUCAAUAGUCUAUUCUAAUCUGAAAUUGUUUACAUCACUUGGUGUAUAUAUAAAACAAGGUCAAUUUUGCUUAACGCCAAGUAACUUUAAAAAAAAUGAAAUGUUUGUUUUCCUAACAUAUCUUGCAAAACUUAAUAAAAUGUUCCACCAAAUGUACUACUACACAAAUAUAAGAGGACUGAGUGAAUCAUGUUAAAUCUAAGAAAAUGUAUUUGUCUUAUUAAGCAAAGCCAAAGUGUCAUGUUCAAGUGAUCUUAAUUGUCUUUGUAUCUUUGAGUUAUGGUACUAAGGUAUAGAAAAAUAUAACCAAAAGAAGAAAAAUAAGCAGUACAGUUUAAUAUUAUCAAUAUUUAAGUAAACAUAAGAUGGAUUAGUUUAUCUGAAAACACAAGGUCUAAAUCUGUGACAUAUACACAUUUCUGAAGAGAGAGUGGAUGGAAGGUGCAUCAGUAAACAUUUCCUAUGACCAAUAAAAACAUACAACAUUGUUUAGUAACAUUUAUUCUUCCUUGUUUUCCAGAUAAUUUGAAAACCUUCUGACUAACAUAAAUUUCAACAAAAAGUUUCAAUACAAUUGAACAGGUGCCAUGUUUAACAAUAAUUAAGUGUUUCGUUUACCAUCUUUUAACCUAAUCUAGAACAUAAUUAUCAUUGUAAGACUCUUGGACAGCAGACAGUAGCAACAUUAGUGCAGCCAGUUCUAGUUGUCUUUUAACAACCCAUGGAGCGGACCCCGUCAGGAUCUCCAGAUAUGUGGCUCCGAAGGACCACCCACAUAGCAAAAUUGGUAUGGCCCAGAUCUCGCCCACACAAUAUGCUUACACGUGGCCCACAUA